UGCUUUAUCGACCACUGCGCAUACGCGGAAAAGAAAACCAAAAGGAGCAGAACACGAGCAGCUAGCAACGGAAAACGGCACGCCAAAAUCCCACAUAGUAGAGCUUAGCAUCUACAGCAAACAAAAGUAGAUCAAAGCAUCCCCAUCCAACUGUUCAUCCGAGAGAUAAUAAUAACACUUCCGAAAAAAGAAAAAAAACGCACUUAACGAGACAUCUAUACGUACUACCCAUCCACGGCCCAGAGUUAACACGGCCCGAGUUUUAAUCACACGACGCCUUAUCCACGAUCGACGACAGAGCAAUGAAACCAGAACAAUGAUAGGCAGUCCAGAACAAAGUUACUG
rnacentral:lncRNA from 1 species